rnacentral:rRNA from 1 species
GUGGGUGGCAAGCGUUGUCCGGAAUUAUUGGGCGUAAAGCGCGCGCAGGCGGUUCUUUAAGUCUGAUGUGAAAGCCCACGGCUCAACCGUGGAGGGUCAUUGGAAACUGGAGAACUUGAGUACAGAAGAGGAAAGCGGAAUUCCACGUGUAGCGGUGAAAUGCGUAGAGAUGUGGAGGAACACCAGUGGCGAAGGCGGCUUUCUGGUCUGUAACUGACGCUGAGGCGCGAAAGCGUGGGGAGCAAACAGGAUUAGAUACCCUGGUAGUCCACGCCGUAAACGAUGAGUGCUAAGUGUUAGGGGGGUUUUCCGCCCCCCUUAGUGCUGCAGCUAACGCAUUAAGCACUCCGCCUGGGAGUACGGCCGCAAGGCCG